rnacentral:rRNA from 1 species
AUUGAACGCUGGCGGCAGGCCUAACACAUGCAAGUCGAACGAGUGGCGGACGGGUGAGUAAUGUCUGGGAACCUGCCCGAUGGAGGGGGAUAACUACUGGAAACGGUAGCUAAUACCGCAUACCAUCGGAUGUGCCCAGAUGGGAUUAGCUAGUAGGGGGGGUAACGGGUCACCUAGGCGACGAUCCCUAGCUGGUCUGAGAGGGUGACCAGCCAAACUGGAACGGAGACACGGUCCAGACUCCUACGUGAGGCAGCAGUGGGAAAUAUUGCACAAUGGGCGCAAGCCUGAUGCAGCCAGGCCGCGUGUAUGAAGAAGGCCUUCGGGUUGUAAAGUACUUUCAGCGAGGAGGCGUUACUCGCAGAAGAAGCACCGGCUAACUCCGUGCCAGCCGCCGCGGUAAUUC